rnacentral:rRNA from 1 species
CCUACGGGUCGCACCAGUGGGGAAUAUUGCACAAUGGGCGCAAGCCUGAUGCAGCCAUGCCGCGUGUAUGAAGAAGGCCUUAGGGUUGUAAAGUACUUUCAGUUGGGAGGAAGGCGUUGAUGCUAAUAUCAUCAACGAUUGACGUUACCAACAGAAGAAGCACCGGCUAACUCCGUGCCAGCAGCCGCGGUAAUACGGAGGGUGCAAGCGUUAAUCGGAAUUACUGGGCGUAAAGCGCACGCAGGCGGUUGAUUGAGUCAGAUGUGAAAUCCCCGGGCUUAACCCGGGAAUUGCAUCUGAUACUGGUCAGCUAGAGUCUUGUAGAGGGGGGUAGAAUUCCAUGUGUAGCGGUGAAAUGCGUAGAGAUGUGGAGGAAUACCGGUGGCGAAGGCGGCCCCCUGGACAAAGACUGACGCUCAGGUGCGAAAGCGUGGGGAGCAAACAGGAUUAGAUACCCUCGUAGUC